CCUACGGGAGGCAGCAGUGGGGGAUAUUGGACAAUGGGGGGAACCCUGAUCCAGCGACGCCGCGUGAGUGAAGACGUAUUUCGGUAUGUAAAGCUCUGUCAGCAGGGGAGAAAGAAAUGACGGUACCUGACCAAGAAGCCCCGGCUCAAUACGUGCCAGCAGCCGCGGGAAUACGUAGGGGGCAAGCGUUAUCCGGAAUUACUGGGUGGAAAGGGAGCGUAGACGGUUAAGUAAGUCUGGAGUGAAAGGCCGGGGCCCAAACCGGGGACUGCUCUGGAAACUAUUGAACUUGAGUGCAGGAGAGGUAAGCGGAAUUCCUAGUGUAGCGGUGAAAUGCGUAGAUAUUAGGAGGAACACCAGUGGCGAAGGCGGCUUACUGGACUGUAACUGACGUUGAGGCUCGAAAGCGUGGGGAGCAAACAGGAUUAGAUACCCUAGUAGUC
rnacentral:rRNA from 1 species